UGAGGAUAGCGCUACCUCCACUCUCACCCACCGCCCCCCUUGAACACGGUACCUCGACGCCUCCUCGUCGUCGUGCCCGGCGACACCGACGAAGCCCAGGCAGGCGCGCCAGGAGGAGGAGCCAGCGCCGAGGGCUUGGCAGCAGGGCGGCGGUGGAUCGGGGUUUUGCUCGACGCUCCUGUCGCAGUCCGGCGCGGCGAGGACGCGUCGUCGCUCGUGGUGGAGCAGAGCACGGCUGGUCCAAGCCGUCGCCGCGGGGUCCGCGGCGCUGGCGUCGAGGCCGGCGCCGGUCUCACCCUUGGCCGCGGCCCUCGCGGUGUUCCUCACCAUGGACAUCCCGAAGCUGGCCGCGUCCCCCGCCACCGCCCAGGCCAAGCGCCGCUCUCCCCUGCUCCACCGGCGUCCCCGUCCGACCUCAUUCGUUCAGCGUCCGCGACCGGCUCCCACGGCAGUAGGCUCUGUCGCGGGCGACGGCGACCUCCGCGUGGGCCUGAGCGAGGCCGCCGGACUCGUCCACCGUGGGCCAGGCGCGGGCACCCGCACACCGGUCGUGCUGUCGUCGACCUCGAGCGGCGGGUGAGCGGCGGGCUCCCUGCUCCGGCGUUGAGAUGCGCGAGAACGGCGGGCGAGCGCGGUGGCCAACCGACGAGCGAGAGCGUGCGCAGCGGCUGGCGGGAGCGAGACACGAGGGUCUCCACGGCGCUGAGGUGCUGCUUCGCCGGCCCAGAGGUGGUUGGCUGGUCGCCAUGCAUGUGUUCGACGAAAUGACUCACAGGCGAGAGCAGGGAAAGGAUGGGUGGUAAGGCUACAUGUUGCCGGAUGCAAGGUACCCAUACCUCUGGUACACGCAAAUCAAACACAUUCGCUACAUAGCCUGGCUCAUUUGGUACAAUUAAAUCAAACAAGAGCAACUGCUGGCUUGAGCCUAGCUGUGGCUGGCGAGCCACGAGCCAGGCGCCCAGGCCUUCUAGAGCGCAGAAAUCAAACACGCCCUGACUCUGCGCCGCCAACGCCGCCGCUGGAGGCGGUGGCCACCGGCGCCUCUGAGCAGGAGCGGGGCGCCGCGGGGGUGGCGAGGAGUAUGCUGGAUGCUCAACGAUGUCGCGGAGCGAGAGCUCAUUGGCAGACUCGAAGAGGCCGCGGACGAGUCAAGCAUCUUGCGGCGGUACCCCGCGCGCCCGCGACGGCCUGCGCCCACGACAAUGAGCUCCCCUCGAUGGCUAACAUGCUGCUUCGUGUCGCGGUACCCGUGAUUUUACAGGGGAGAAGGGUACGGGCAGCUUCGGCAAGUGCCGGAACAAGGCGCACACGAUCCGCAUCCGGUGCGGCCGCCGGAGCUUCCACCUCCAGAAGAGCACCUACUCCUCCUGCGGCUACCCUGCCGCCCGCAUCCGCAAGUAAUGUCCAAGAAGGAACUACUAGAAAGCAAACAUCCAACGGCAUGGGCAGAAUUUGAGAAGGGACUGGUUGAUGAGAUGUCAAAAAAGAAGUAAGGUGAUCAUGGCAAGAAGUCUGCCUCCUGCAAAUCAAAAUGGGAGUCAGGGAUCCCCUUUGCCCAAAAGCAUAAAAGCAUGUGAACUACCAAAGUUGUUGCUUGCUUUUUGGGAUCGUCAGUUUGUGCCAAGAACUGCUAAAGAUUUAGAAGUGCAGAUGCAAGAAUCAUAGACAUUGGUAGUUCUUAUCUGUUAUAUGGUUGCAAGUAGAGCAGCAAGCUGGCUUAGGAUCUUAGACAUUGGUAGUGUUAUCUGUUAUAUGGUGUUGUACUUCUUUCAUGUGGAUGGAAAAUGCUUGUUCAUGUGGAUAGCAAAUGCUCUGUACAGUAUUGUUUUGAUUAGGGAUUAUAGAAAAAUUGUAAUGCUUGUUGAUUUUGUA